AUCAUCAGAGACUUAAAUA
rnacentral:snRNA from 1 species